CUUUACUGUAGCCUGGUAUUGGGUUCGGGCUUUGACUGCGCAGGAUAGGUGGGAGACUAUGAAGCUGCCCUUGUGGGGGCAGUGGAGUCAUCAGUGAGAUACCACUCUGUCAAGGCUAGAAUUCUAACCGUCUGCCGUUAUCCGACGACAGAACAGUAUCAGGUGGGCAGUUUGACUGGGGCGGUCGCCUCCUAAAUGGUAACGGAGGCGCGCAAAGGUUCCCUCAGGCUGGUUGGAAAUCAGCCGAAGAGUGUAAAGGCAGAAGGGAGCUUGACUGCAAGAGCAACAACUCAAGCAGGGACGAAAGUCGGCCUUAGUGAUCCGACGGCGCUGAGUGGAAGGGCCGUCGCUCAACGGAUAAAAGUUA
rnacentral:rRNA from 1 species